ACGGAGACUGCGAGCGUUACUCGGAUUUACUGGGCGUAAAGGGUCCGUAGGCGGCCAUGUGUGUCGGGUGUGAAAUCCUGCAGCUCAACUGCAGAACUGCGCUCGAAACUACAUGGCUAGAGUAUCGGAGAGGUGAGCAGAAUUCCAGGUGUAGCGGUGAAAUGCGUAGAUAUCUGGAGGAAUACCAACGGCGAAGGCAGCUCACUGGACGAUUACUGACGCUGAGGGACGAAAGCGUGGGGAGCGAAAGGG
rnacentral:rRNA from 1 species